UUGCUGUACAGAUGUUUAGGGGUCGCCUACUACGUCUAUACUGGGCGCCCGCUGCGUGCCAGGUACUGCCACCGGCUCUCUCCUCACGGUGGAAUAACUUAACAGAGAAGACAGACAUCAAUCAAAUACCCUGGAAACGUGGAAGGCAGGGGAAAGAACAAAGGGAGAGCAAAAUCGCCCCAAUCCCACAUCACCCGCGACGUGAAAGGAUUUGUCCUUCCAGCUGCGGGACUCCUAUUUGUUUAUUUCAAGUCAGAGGCCUUCCCUUUAUGCCCACAUCUGUUCCCGACCCUCUCCUCUGAUUUUCCUCACAUGUAUUUCCUCCCCUCUUCAGCCCCGCGCCAGCUCCAGGCACAGCCGUUCAGGGUGAUGCCAAAGGGAAAUGAGAACGCCUGGUUUCGAGUGCCAGCCUGAGGCCCCUUAAGCCCUAGCCUGGCUCCAAAAACUGCAGCCUGUUUCCCUCAACAAAAAUGACGUCAAGAAUACCUAGAUGUGACCACACCGAACUUGCUUGCCCGUUUUGGGAAACCCAACUUUCUUCCUGAAUAGUCAGAACCUCUGGCUUUCCUGGUCUCU
rnacentral:lncRNA from 10 species